rnacentral:rRNA from 1 species
GAGAAUGCCGGAAUGAGUAGCGAGAAUUAUGUGAGAAUCAUAAUGGCCGAAAAUCUAAGGUUUCCUGAGGAAGGUUCGUCCGCUCAGGGUAAGCCGGGGGCUAAGGCGAGGCGGAGACGCGUAGCCGAUGCACAUACGGUUGAAAUUCCGUAGCCACCGAAAAAUUUAAGUACAGGGACGCUUUAGAAGUGAUGUUGCCGGGCGAUGGUUGACCCGGUCGUAAGGGAUCGAAAAUGAGUAGAGAAGUCAUCAUGGAAAGAGACAAGAAAAGCUGUAUGAAUAUCUUAGGUGCCCGUACCGCAAACCGACACAGGUAGAUAGGAAGAAGAUUCUAAGGCCAACGGGAGAAGGGUUGUUAAGGAACUCGGCAAGUUGACCCCGUAACUUAGGGAUAAGGGGUGCUCAAGUGAUUGAGCCGCAGAGAAUAGGCCCAGGCGACUGUUUAGCAAAAACACAGGUCUCUGCUAAAUCGAAAGAUGACGUAUAGGGGCUGACACCUGCCCGGUGCCGGAAGGUUAAGAGGAGAUGUGAGAGCAUUGAAUUGAAGCCCCGGUAAACGGCGGCCGUAACUAUAACGGUCCUAAGGUAGCGAAAUUCCUUGUCAGGUAAGUUCUGACCCGCACGAAAGGUGUAACGAUCUGGGCACUGUCUCAACAACCCGCCCGGCGAAAUUGUAGUACCGGUGAAGAUGCCGGUUACCCGCGACUAGACGGAAAGACCCCAUGGAGCUUUACUGUAGCCUAAUAUUGGAUUUCGGUAUUUCACGUACAGGAUAGGUGGGAGACUGGGAAGCACAGGCGUCAGCUUGUGUGGAGUCGACCUUGGGAUACCACUCUUGGAGUGCUGGAAUUCUAACCUGCGGCUUUGAAGCAAGUCGGGGGACAUUGUUAGGUGGGCAGUUUGACUGGGGCGGUCGCCUCCUAAAGAGUAACGGAGGCGCUCAAAGGUUCGCUCUGCAUGGAUGGAAACCAUGCGUCAGAGUGUAAACGCAAAAGCGAGCCUAACUGCGAGAAUGACGGUUCGAGCAGUAACGAAAGUUGGAGUUAGUGAUCCGGCGGUAUGUGAAUGGAAAUGCCGUCGCUCAACGGAUAAAAGCUACCCUGGGGAUAACAGGCUGAUCUCCCCCAAGAGUCCACAUCGACGGGGAGGUUUGGCACCUCGAUGUCGGCUCAU